rnacentral:rRNA from 1 species
AUUGAACGCUGGCGGCAGGCCUAACACAUGCAAGUCGAGCGGAUGAAGGGAGCUUGCUCCUGGAUUCAGCGGCGGACGGGUGAGUAAUGCCUAGGAAUCUGCCUGGCAGUGGGGGAUAACGUCCGGAAACGGGCGCUAAUACCGCAUACGUCCUGAGGGAGAAAGUGGGGGAUCUUCGGACCUUACGCUAUCAGAUGAGCCUAGGUCGGAUUAGCUAGUUGGUGGGGUAAAGGCCUACCAAGGCGACGAUCCGUAACUGGUCUGAUAGUAUGAUCAGUCAAACUGGAACUGAGACACGGUCCAGACUCCUACGGGAGGCAGAAGUGGGGAAUAUUGGACAAUGGGCGAAAGCCUGAUCCAGCCAUGCCGCGUGUGUGAAGAAGGUCUUCGGAUUGUAAAGCACUUUAAGUUGGGAGAAAGGGCAGUAAGUUAAUACCUUGCUGUUUUGACGUUACCAACAGAAUAAGCACCGGCUAACUUCGU